AAGAGGGAAGAGGGCAGGUCGCAGGGGAGUCUCGUGGCCUGGCUGGGAGAAGUGCAAGCUGAUAUGCUUCAGAAGAAUGUUCUCUCAACACUUAUAUCCCAAGCCUACUAUGUGCUAGGCAGCUCCAGGUACCCGGGUCCAUUGGUAAAUGUGACCGAGCUCUCAUGGAGCUCACCUCCCAGGGAGGGUAGAAAAGACAGUUUUUAAAUUAAUUACAGAAAGUAACAUGUGCUAAGAAGAGAAGUAAGGCAAUGUGUGAGGGCCCGAGGAGACUUCUCCAGGUGAGGUUGCUAGAAUACCUGUCAUCUGACAGAUGGGAAGAGCAC